rnacentral:misc_RNA from 1 species
UUCGUGUCGACCGUCUGGACGAUAACAUCGCGUUGUUGCGCGUCGAAAUUUCGGGAAUCUCAAUCGCGUAUUACAUAACUUUAUCUCGUUACAUUAUUUCGCCUAUUCCAUUCGUUAUUUCGUUUAAAUCGCGUGUGUAUUGGUAGUGAUUCCUUUAAUCGCGAAUAUUUGAGGAUUGACUAGAAAUCAUGAUCUAUCCAAGAGGGACCAAACUAUUAUUUUCACGCCGAUUCUUGAAGCAAUGGCCACAAUUACAUACGAUGCCUUCCUACGUUCGUCCUACCGUAUGCGGCCAUCAAACCACUACACAACGAUAUAUCAUACGCGUCAUGCGCGUGGGUAACACGCACUUCCUACGCGUGUCGUGCACAGCUUCCCACGUAUCUGGAUCGACGUUGAAAUUUUUCUGAAGAAGCUGAAAACCUUCUUGUUUGCUGAAAUGAGAGCACGAUUGGAGGAUAGAAAUUUAAAGGUUGUGGUCGUUACUAAUAUUAAAAGAUUGGAGUUACUAAAGGUUGGAGGUUACUAAAAGGAGUUACUAAAAG